rnacentral:rRNA from 1 species
UACAGAGGGGGCGAGCGUUAUUCGGAAUUAUUGGGCGUAAAGGGCGCGUAGGCGGCUUGACAAGUCCAAGGUGAAAUCCCUCGGCUCAACCGAGGAACUGCCUUGGAAACUGUCUGGCUUGAGGCCGGGAGAGGGUAGUGGAAUUCCCAGUGUAGCGGUGAAAUGCGUAGAUAUUGGGAGGAACACCGGUGGCGAAGGCGGCUACCUGGACCGGAUCUGACGCUGAUGCGCGAAAGCGUGGGGAGCAAACAGG